rnacentral:rRNA from 1 species
GACGAACGCUGGCGGCGUGCCUAAUACAUGCAAGUCGAACGCACUCUCGUUUAGAUUGAAGGAGCUUGCUCCUGAUUGAUAAACAUCUGAGUGAGUGGCGGACGGGUGAGUAACACGUGGGUAACCUGCCCUAAAGUGGGGGAUAACAUUUGGAAACAGAUGCUAAUACCGCAUAAAACCUAACACCGCAUGGUGUAGGGUUGAAAGAUGGUUUCGGCUAUCACUUUAGGAUGGACCCGCGGUGCAUUAGUUAGUUGGUGAGGUAAAGGCUCACCAAGACCGUGAUGCAUAGCCGACCUGAGAGGGUAAUCGGCCACACUGGGACUGAGACACGGCCCAGACUCCUACGGGAGGCAGCAGUAGGGAAUCUUCCACAAUGGACGAAAGUCUGAUGGAGCAACG